UCAAGGGCGGUUGAGAGGAUGCGACGGGCGGUCGAACGAGAGCGGAUGCGGCGGCCGCUCGAUUCAGGCGAAGCAGGCGACCUACGGUGGGAUCGUGCCGACGCGCGAGCGAAUCCAGACUAGGAUUCACUCACGAGCGAAUCUAGCAUGAGGGGAUCGAGCAGAAACGCCUGAUGCGGGUGAACCGAGGACCGGUCGAUCCAGCCGUCGGCCGAUCCGCCUGCAAGUUUUGAAUCAGGCAUUCAUGUCUCGGGGCAACCUCUCGUUUGCACACUUCAGUUUCCAACUUAUGCGUGUAUAUAUGCUUCCUCCCCGGCCACUCUUCGCUCACCCUCUCUACUCCAGCAGCACAAAAUAUUCAAGAUCAUGUUCGGGUAGAUCUCCCUGUGUUCUUCCUGAUGCAUAUGUGUCGUGGAGAUUUCUGCCCCAUGGUGAGCAGAUCAAAUCUUAUUUUGUAGUAUCUGGUCAGUUCUUAUAUAUGAUAAAUAUGGCGAGUACCAAUUCUUCGGUUUUGAUCAAGAACUGAGAAUGGCAUAUUUUCCAGCCUCCAUGUGAAAAUUUGUUUAACUUUCAAUUUAUUCAGUUUGGUACUUUUGUCCGUUCAAAGUUUAUGUGUUAAUCUGGGUAAGUAACUGUUUACUUGUACUACAACCAAUGCUAAUUAAGCUAAAGGUUUUAUGAGUUGGUAGCACGUCGAAUUGUUUUGUGAAAAGCAGUAGCAGG